UCGCUUUGAGAAAAGAGACAAUGACUGAGCAAACACUGCCACCAGCGCUAUUACUGGGAAUUCGGAGACCUGAAUUUUCGCCACACUCUCAGUGCAAACUCUGGCGAUGCUCCACCCACAGUGAACUACGUCCUGUGCCUCCUGGUUGCCAAGUGUUCACCUGGACCGUCUGACCACCUUUGUGCUAUUCCAUCAGCCUACAGAUCUGGUACCUGGAUUUUUGCCCAUGGUGAUUCUACCACCUUACUACUGAAGAAGACAUCAUUCCAGUGGACCACUGUGACCCAGGAGGCAUCCAGCGAAUCAUCAUGAUGUGGCCUUCACCUCCACUCCUGUACUGUUCUACCGAGAUUCAACACAGCCUUUUGUAGUGAAGUCAAACUCCUCAAGCCAAAUAGCUGAAGCUAUUUUAUCACAACAAAGGCUGUUUGUUCCAUGAGUGUGCAUUUCGUUUCUUCAGUUAAAGCCUUCAGAGACACGUAAUAAAUUUGGACCAGGGGAUUUUUAGUUAUCAGCACUGUCUGAAGAAUGGCAACAUCUUUUUGAGAACCACAUUGGACCAUGCCCCACUAUCUUAAAUGAUUGAAAUUCAGGAAGUAUCUAAUCUGGACCCCAUUCUUUUUCCAUGUCAAAUCUGUAGUAACCUACUGAAUGAGCAAGCAGAUAUUCUGACCCAUUGGGAUUAAAACAAAGGCACAGUGAACUCUCAGCAUCUUCUUUGGGAUUACUCAGGAACCAGAACUUUUCACACAAAUGUAAGAAAUUCUACCAAGGAAUCCCUUUACCUAACAGCAUCUCACAAAGCUCCAAUCAGAUUCCAGAAAAGGCCUCUUGAUACAUCCAGGUAGAACCUAUAUGGUAAUCCCUUAUGUUUAUAUAGCACUUUACAGUUUCAAAGCACUUUUACAUGCAUUAAUGUCAAUUAUCAAAUAACACAAAUUAUAAUCCCUUUUUGCAAAUGAGGAAAUGGAAAUUUAAAAGGUUAUCCGAGGUGACACAGCUACAAAGUGGUAGAGGCCAGGCCUUCUGACUCCUAGUCCAGUUCUCUCCUUGGAAUUAACUUAGCCUCUAUUUUACCCAGUGUUAAAAUAACUGGAGAGUGGGAACCCCAGAAAAGUUUCCAACUUCCUGAUCUGGUGCCCUCGAUCAGUCAGGAUGUCAUACAUGUAAUCUUGUGAUAGCUGUACCUAGACCAGAAUUCCAUUACAGCAUCUCUGACAUUUAGGAGUAGACUGUCCAGUCAACAAAACAAAUGUUCAUUUGACAGCAAGAUUACCCAUUACGAAACACAAAGCUGCUUUUAGAUCUUUCAUGUAUCUUCAUGGUCUUCCCAAAGAUGGCCUAGUUGAUUGGAGAUCCCUGUUCAUAUCAUGUCUUUUUUUUUUUUUUUCUUUUAAUUCUUACUAAUAUUCCUGGACACCAAGAUCUACCUGUGGUCCUCUAUCCCCAAACUAAUAUUUACAUAGAAUGAGCCAUCAAUUUUUUUAGAACAGUACUGUUCAUAUAUAUGUGUGUGUGUGUGUAUAUAUUUGAUAUACACAUGUAAUAUAUAUCAUAGAGCUUCUGUAGUCCAGUAAGGUGGUAAAAUACUGUAAAUGUGUCCCCUUCCCUGAUUCAUAAUGCAGUGUAGUGUAUUAAAGGAUCUCAGAAGGCUUGUGGUAAAGAGCCUCAUUUAGCUGUUUGGUCCAGUGUGUCCUAAGUUUAAUCAAGCACAGAAAGUUAUUUUUGCAGCAUUCCUUUUAAUGGAAUGGGAAAACUGCUCUAAAGCAGUAUAGCCAGUGCUUCCUGGUUGCCAACAGAUUACCCUGGAGACCCAGGAAUAAACAGCAUCUUUGAAACCCCCCCUUUGUUUACCUUGUCAAUAACUACUUGAAUUAGUAUGUCUUCCUCAUCUGAGAGCCCCACAUCUUGACAGUUACCUUUGUUUUCUGUCAAAGAAACCUCUAGAAGAUUUGUGGGGAUACAUGGGAUGGGGAUGGGGGGAGUUAAUUCUGCCACAAAAUUAGAUGAAUUCCAUGACAUUUAGCAAUAUACUUUUCUGUCCGUAGAAUUGUGCUGUAAAUCUAGUUUAAGGGAAUUGCAUCUCAGGUGGGUGAGGAGACUGGGAAGGGAAGGGAGGAGGAGAAUAGAGAAGAGGGGGAGGAGGGGUGAGAAGGAGAUAUUUUCUUAGGAUUUGAGUUGUGGCCCACUGAGAUCUUAUUAAUACUUGAAGAGAAGUCAUCCAGCCAGGGAAUUUUUGAAAUAAUAUUAACAAAGAAAUGAAUGCAUUUUGCAGCUGUAUGCUGACUGCAAAAACCCCAGCACUAUUGUCACUUAAAACCAAUAGCCUUGUUCUCUGAUAGUCACUUACAAGCCCAAUUUCAGGCAAUCUGAAUUUGUAGCAGACUUGAAUGUUAACUUCAUCAUUUUGUAAUGUGGCCCACAUUAGGGAAAGAAUAAAUAGGAAAACACCUUGGCUUACCACAGGCUUUGCUCACACAGUUUCUGGUUUCUGUGACCUAUUUUUUGUAUUUCAGCAUUUUGUGAACAACUUAUUCUUAGAUCAUUGGUUUUCCAAAGUCUUUGUGGCCAUGAAGCCCUUUGAAUGAAAACUUUAUGGAAGCCCAGAGUAAAAGUGAAGCUGCUCUGGAGGAAGCAGAAGUGGGGGGCCUGAAACCUGCCACAAGCAUCUUACUUUACCACCAUGGUGACACCUAAGGAGACUUCUUUACAACAACUAGAACUCUUCAGAACACAGUUUGAAAACCACUGCCCUAGACAACAGUAUGUUCGACCUGAAUGGCAUUCUGUUCUGUACCUCUACCCAACACCAUCCAUGUUCAGUUGAUGCCGAAUGUUCUUAGGAAUACUUACUGUGGGCAAACUCAGAAAAGUACAAGAAGAUGGGCAUAUCUUUGCCCCCCAGAGUAGUCAUAUGGGCCGAAAGUGGUAUCAAAUGGACCUAGAGUAAUAGCCCUCUACCUACAGAUGGACUUCCAGUGAUUCCUGGAUUUGAUAUAGCCAGAGAGCAAUUCAUACAUACUCUACACUGACAAACCCCCUUACCCAGCUUCUUUCACAAACACCAGAUGCUCUAGUGGUACUUGAAAUACAUGACCUUGAAGUCUUGAUCCUCCUUGGAUACAUGAAUCGCCAGGUAUUGAAGCUGAUGCUGAAGUUGAUGUCUCAUUGAGGCCAUAUUAGAGCAACUGUACAUUGGACCACCCAUUCUCAGCCAUGGUACUCUACUUUGUGUGCAAGGGAUAACUAUAAACUGAAAGCAGAAUUCAAAGACUGGCAACAUUAUCUAAAAGGGUACCUGGUUAUUAUUCAUAUUCUCAGACUAUGUCACUAUCACUCAACCAGUGGCAGUUACACUACUUCUUGGUUUUUAUUCAGUUUAACUGCUGUUUCCAGGAUAAAUGAGCUAAUAACCUUUGAAAAAUCGCUAAAACAAUUCCUCAGUCACUGGCACAUCUGCCUAGUCUCCAAAAUUAUGAAUACUCAGUUCUAACUGCAUGUAAUACCUGAUCCACAAGAGACAGUCUCUGAACAUCCUUUCUCGUCUGUGUGAUUUAAAAUGUGACCAUUUCGAAAAUUUUCUUCCAGCCAAGAGAGAUUUUAAGAUGGGUGUUUUGAUGUCUGGUACCAUCAGCUGUUGAUGUUAAUGAUGUUUGGAGGUAGGCCUUUUGACCAGGCCAUGAUAGCUUACUUGGUGGGCAUCUCAAAUUGCAUAUCAUCUACCUUUUUGCUGGAAGUGUAGACUGACUGGAAAUCUACAAAGCCUGCAGCUAAAGAUUUUAUCAGUAGACUCAAGAGCUUCCUGCUGUUGCUUCCUAAUGUCACAAGACCACAGUCCCUUGUCCUUGUGGAUGUUUUCAUGGAAUUUCAUCUGUCUCAGUACUAUUGUUUUACACUGAAUCAGAGUGGCUGACUUCAUUCCUUGUCUUGAAAUACUCUCAGGCAUUAAGACAACUUACCUGUUCAGGAGGGAUUUGAUUCAUGAACUCCUCCCAGACCAGAUCAUGUAGAACAAGUAGACUUUGAUUUGUGCCAUGAGAAAAGUCUCAUUUCUUCAGAGUCAACUUAAGGGCCCGCUGUCCUCAGCUACUUUAACGAAUGCACUGGUUAAAUGUUGGAAAUGUUUCUUUAUAUCUUUUGUCUCUUAUCCUCUAGACUAAUUGUGAUUAUAUGAGUCAGUCUACAAAUCAUCAAACAAGGCCUAAGUCUGGUUACUUUAUACUGCUCACCCUCAACAAAUAAAAUCUGAUGACUGGCCUGCUUGUAUGUACAACUGUUAUUUGUAAAGAAGAAAUUAUCUACAAGCUUAGUUUUUCUAUUGCCUUCAAAAUGUCAGCUCGAUUUUCUUUUUCUCCUGUACUUGACCGAAAAAGACAUUGAUCUACACUGGCAGUCAUUCCCUUUAAUCCUGUCAAAAUGAGGGACUAAAGGUAAAGAUGAUCAUCUGUUCAAGAGUCUGAUGUACACUGUGUGUAAGAAUUGAUGGUGGAAAAAGCAUAAAACUCAAACCUAGUAUCUUACUAUCUCCAUGCCUCAGAUCUCAUCUUUCAGCAGUACCAUUCAACCAAUCUGAGGCCUUGACUUGUUGAUAAGAUGAUUCUCAGAGAUGGGCUGAGUUACAGAAGAUGGAGACUUGAUUACCAAAGAAAGUAGGGCCAACCUUGAUGAACCUGGCUCUCCCAACCCUAUCACUCCCAGAUGUAGCAUAGACUCCUAAACAGAACCUCAAGUCUGGAUUAAGGAGAUAGCCUUCUCCUGAGCUGAAAGUUCUUGGGCAGAUGAGCAGGAAAAUGAAAGUUGCUGUACCUGACUGGCCCUUUAAGAUCAGAAAAUUUUAUCCAGAAUAAACGCUGUGGAUUAACCCUGGAGUACUCAGGGUUAAAACUAAUGUACAGAGUUUCGAUAUUAAACUGCCUGUUCUUCUAGAUCAUAGCCUGGCUAUUGAUAUGGCUGGCCCUGCUGAAAGUACCUUACUUACUUGCCUAUUUACCUGACACAGCCCUUGCCUGCUUUUUUGACAUAUUGCUGCAAUCAGACUGGCUGUCCUUGAGAAGACUAUAGCUGAUCUUGGUCUAUCUUAUACCCAGUUCCACCAAGGGGUUUUGAACAGAAGCAGCCUGCACCUCACCCACCAGGACUUAAUGUUCACAACAGGAAGGACCGUGCUGUAUACUCCUUGACCAGCAGCUUUUUUUUUUUUUAACUGCAGAGUAAGCCUCUAUGCCUAUAUAUAUUAGGUCAUUUUCAGCACUUGGGACCCUUUCUACCAGAUCUGAAGGAGCAGAGCAGAUUGAAGUCACUGUCCAUUCCUCUGUUCUACAGUAAUACAGAGAUGAAUCUGAUUUGCCAGUACUCAACAGAAAUGUACCAGUUCAACCUGGCAAAAGACUCAAAGGAACAUAAGAAAACUUUUCCACUGAGCUUAAAAUUUACCACUGACUUGAUGAGCGUCACAGAACUAUUUGCCAGUGGGAGGCUGGUUGUCCUGCUUCAUGUCAGCAAGACAGUUGGGCUCUCAAACUCACGACCACUGAGUUUACUUACAUUGAAACUCUGUUGUAUCAUCCAGAGUAUGCUAUUGGACAUGAUUAUUCCAUUCAAAUGGAUUACAAGCCUCCUGAGUAGAAGACAAACUUACUCCUCAUGAUUUUUUCCAGAAUACAUUUAUUGUCAAGGAAGGAACAGUGCCAGCUGUUACCAUUCAACUUUAUGAGCAGAGAUUAAACUUUUUCAAUAUCUGGUCUUACCACUGACAUCAGUUGUUUUUGAUUGACCAGCAUCAAUUCCAUCCCUUUGCAACAACUCCCUGAUGUUUCUUGGAACCUCGUCUCCUUCUUUUCAGUCCAUGUGGUUCAAUCUGACCUAAUCUUAGGUUUCAUGGGUGGACAUUUAAUUCAGACCUAAUCAAUCAGCACAGUCCAUCUCCUUGACCAUAGUGAUUCGUUCAGGAAUGGUCAUGUGAUUCAAGCUGGUCCAGUGAUACCCAACCCUAAGAGUUUAGUGAACUGUGGAGGAGAAGCUCAGAAGCUCUACUGAGGUUGCUUAGCUCUGUAGGAUGAAAAGCUCAGACCAACAGGGCCCACCAUAUCGAAUGAGCCAGUCAAAGAAUGAAGCCAGUACAGAGGAAAGCAGAGCCAAAUGUUGGAGAGACUUGAGUCCUGAUGACAAUGUUUGUGCCCCUGGAUCCAACCGUGCCUGAAGCUAGUAUAUCCCCUGGACUUUUCAGUUAUGUGAACCAAUAAAUACCCUUCUUUGCUUAAGUUA